rnacentral:rRNA from 1 species
GGAGUCUAGCAUGUACGCGAGUCAUUGGGCGUUACGAAACCCAAAGGCGAAGUGAAAGCAAAGAUUUGAUUCAAUCAAAUUUAGAUGCGAUCCCGGUUAGUCUAUCAUGACGCUGGGCGCAGCAUCGGCCCGUCUCAUUGUGUAUUAACACAGGGGCGGAGCAAGAGCGUACAUGCUGAAACCCGAAAGAUGGUGAACUAUGCUUGCGCAGGUUGAAGCCAGAGGAAACUCUGGUGGAGGACCGUAGCGAUUCUGACGUGCAAAUCGAUCGUCAGACGUGAGUAUAGGGGCGAAAGACUAAUCGAACCAUCUAGUAGCUGGUUCCCUCCGAAGUUUCCCUCAGGAUAGCUGGCAUGCAUGAAUAAAAAAGUUUUAUCCGGUAAAGCGAAUGAUUAGAGGAAUUGGGGCCGAAAUGUCCUCAACCUAUUCUCAAACUUUAAAUGGGUGAGAAGCUGAACUCUCUUAAUUGGAGUUUGGCAUUGAAUUUGCAGGCCAAGUGGGCCAUUUUUGGUAAGCAGAACUGGCGCUGUGGGAUGAACCAAACGUCUAGUUAAGGCGCCUAACACGUCGCUCAUAAGAUACCACACAAGGUGUUGGUUGAUAUAGACAGCAGGACGGUGGCCAUGGAAGUUGGAAUCCGCUAAGGAGUGUGUAACAACUCACCUGCCGAAUCAACCAGCCCUGAAAAUGGAUGGCGCUGAGCGAUGGGCCUAUACUAGACCAACACUGUAAUGGCGGUUACUAUGUAAACAGUGUUGAGUAGGAGGGUCUCCGUGGUGAGCAUUGAAGCUUAGUCUGUGAAGACUGGUGGAGCCCCCACGGGUGCAGAUCUUGGUGGUAGUA